rnacentral:rRNA from 1 species
UACGUAGGGCGCAAGCGUUAUCCGGAAUUAUUGGGCGUAAAGAGCUCGUAGGCGGUUUGUCGCGUCUGCCGUGAAAGUCCGGGGCUCAACUCCGGAUCUGCGGUGGGUACGGGCAGACUAGAGUGAUGUAGGGGAGACUGGAAUUCCUGGUGUAGCGGUGAAAUGCGCAGAUAUCAGGAGGAACACCGAUGGCGAAGGCAGGUCUCUGGGCCUACCCUGACGCUGAGGCGCGAAGGCGUGGGGAGCAAACGGG